CCGGAACAAACCUAUUGACAAGAUGCCGAAGUGCCAGUUCCUGUUUUCUGCUGUUUUUGGUUUCAGAAAUCCUAGUAAGAAAAUAUUCUCGGAAUUAGACGAAAUCAACGCCCAGCAUCUUAUAAUUGCACGAAGCUUCCAGAACACCCGAGAGGAACCAGAGGGGGGCCACAGGGCCACCAGACAGUAGGGCGGCGCGGCCAAGGAGCCAGGCGCGCCGCCCUAGUGUGGGGAGCCCCCGUAACCCUUCCGACUCCGCCUCUUUGCCUAUAAGAAGCCCCCUGACCUAAAUCUUCGAUACGAAAAAGCCACGGUACGAGAAACCUUCCAGAGCCGCCGCCAUCGCGAAGCCAAGAUUCGGGGGACAGGAGUCUCUGUUCCGGCACGCCGCCGGGACGGGGAAGUGCCCCCGGAAGGCUUCUCCAUCGACACCACCGCCAUCUUCAUCAACGCUGCUGUCUCCCAUGAGGAGGGAGUAGUUCUCCCUCGAGGCUAAGGGUUGUACCGGCAGCUAUGUGGUUAAUCUCUCUCCUAUGUACUUCAAUACAAUGAUCUCAUGAGCUGCCUUACAUGAUUGAGAUUCAUAUGAGUUUUGUAUCACUAUUAGUCUAUGUGCUACUCUUGUGAUGUUAUUAAAGUAGUCUAUUCCUCCUUCACGGUGUAAUGGUGACAGUGUGUGCAUCGUGUAGUACUUGGCGUAGGUUAUGAUCAUAAUCUCUUGUAGGUUAUGAAGUUAAUUAUUACUAUGAUAGUAUUGAUGUGAUCUAUUUCCCCUUCAUA